rnacentral:misc_RNA from 1 species
CUCCCCACUCUGCCUUCUCUGGCUCCAUGCUAACAACUUCUGCAAAACCUGCAAGUGCUCCUUCUGGGUCUGUUUCAACCAAACCUUCGGAGUUGUAAUAUUGGUUUUCAAUGUCAACGUCUUGUUCCUCAGGCUCCUCGUCCGAGUACUCGAACCCAUAAUCCUCCAUAUCCGCAUCUGAACCCAUGAUUAGAAGCAGAAAUGGAGAG